rnacentral:rRNA from 1 species
UACGGAGGGUGCAAACGUUGCUCGGAAUCAUUGGGUGUAAAGCGCACGUAGGCGGACUGUUAAGUCGGAUGUGAAAUCCCUCAGCUUAACUGAGGAAGUGCACUCGAAACUGGCAGUCUUGAGUAUGGAAGAGGGUCGCGGAAUUCCCGGUGUAGAGGUGAAAUUCGUAGAUAUCGGGAGGAACACCAGUGGCGAAGGCGGCGACCUGGGCCAAUACUGACGCUGAGGUGCGAAAGCGUGGGGAGCAAACAGG